GAUGAACGCUGACAGAAUGCUUAACACAUGCAAGUCGAUGGGGAAGUGGUGCUUGCACCAUGGUAACCAUGGCGGACGGGUGAGUAACGCGUAAGGAACUUACCUGCGGGACCGGGAUAACAGCAGGAAACUGCUGACAAGACCGGAUAAGGUCAUUAAGCUGCAUAGCUUAGUGAUGAAAGGAGACGCCUGCGGAGAGCCUUGCGUCCUAUUAGCUAGUUGGAGGGGUAACGGCCCACCAAGGCGAAGAUAGGUAGCCGGCCUGAGAGGGUGGACGGCCACAAGGGGACUGAGAUACGGCCCUUACUCCUACGGGAGGCAGCAGUGGGGAAUAUUGGACAAUGGGGGCAACCCUGAUCCAGCAAUUCUGUGUGCACGAAGACGGUUUUCGGAUUGUAAAGUGCCUUCAGCAGGGAAGAAGGAAGUGACGGUACCUGCAGAAGAAGCGACGGCUAAAUACGUG
rnacentral:rRNA from 1 species